UUUCAACUGCAAGGUGAUACAUCAUGUUAAUUACUGAAUAUGGAAAAUGUUUGAUAAGCCAAAAGGAAAAAACUAAAAUCUCCCACAAUUCCAUCAGCCAGAGAUAACUUUUCAAGAGAACACUUUAGAGACAGCAGCUCCAAAUGGCCUACUUGUCACUGAUUGAAGAAGACGCUGACCUGAAAUAAAAACAGUUCCUAGGACCCAUCAAGGCCUUAACUAGAAAGGGGAAUGCUCUGUAAACACCUUGAGAGAAGAGAUUGUCUGUCUUAUCACAACUGUACCCCAGUGCCUCACAGGAUACCUGGAAUGGGGUAUGAGGGGGUCAAUUAAUGUUGAGUGAAUGAAUGAAUGAUCUGAUUAUGGAAAGGGGCUCCCUAAGCUUUUCAGGGGUUGAAAAACUUGGGCAGAGUGAUGAGCUAAGAUUUGUGGGUUUUAACCUCUGUAUUGAGUCUUAGUGUGUUACAGGACGGUAUUGGUGACCAACAAAUAUUCACUGGGUAAUUGA